rnacentral:rRNA from 1 species
AAUCGAACCCGGAGAUAGCUGGUUCUCCCCGAAAUAGUUUUAGGACUAGCCUCAAGUUAGAUACCUGGAGGUAAAGCACUGAAUAGCCUAGCGGCCGAGAGGUUAGCGAAGCUUAUCAAACUCAGAAUGCCAGAGUAUUGAUGCUUGGGAGUCAGACAGUGUCAGAUAAAUGUCAUUGUCAAAAGGGAAACAGCCCAGAUCUACAGCUAAGGUCCCAAAGUCAGGUUAAGUGGAAAACGAUGUGAAGAUACGCAGACAACCAGGAUGUUGGCUCAGAAGCAGCCACUCAUUCAAAGAGUGCGUAAUAGCUCACUGGUCGAGCGUCUUUGCGCGGAGAAUUUAACGGGGCUAAACCUGACACCGAAGCUUAGGCAAUACAGCAAUGUAUUGGGUAGGGGAGCGUUGUAUACGCGGAGAAACAGUAGCGCAAGCGGCUGUGGAGUGUAUAGAAGUGAGAAUGCCGGAAUGAGUAGCGCGAAUGCAGUGAGAAUCUGCAUGGCCGAAAGCCUCAGGUUUCUGGAGGAAGGUUCGUCCGCUCCAGGUUAGUCGGGAGCUAAGGUGAGGCCGGAAGGCGUAGCCGAUGCACAGACGGUAGAGAUUCCGUCACCACCAAAAGAGUUAAGCACAGGGACACAUUUGAAGUCUCAGAGCCGGGUGUUGGUUCCGGUAGAGAUCGAGGGAAAUUAGUACCGAAGUCUGAGAUGGAAGAUGGCGAGAAAAGCUGUGUGUAUUUCUGAGGUGCCCGUACCGCAAACCGACACAGGUAGGUAGGAAGAAGAUUCUAAGGCCAACGGGAGAAGGGUUGUUAAGGAACUCGGCAAAUUGACCCCGUAACUUCGGGAGAAGGGGUGCUCCAGAGAUGGAGCCGCAGAGAAUCGGCCCAAGCAACUGUUUACCAAAAACACAGGUUUGUGCUAAAUCGAAAGAUGACGUAUACGAGCUGACGCCUGCCCGGUGCUGGAAGGUUAAGAGGAGAUGUGCAAGCAUUGAAUCGAAGCCCCAGUGAACGGCGGCCGUAACUAUAACGGUCCUAAGGUAGCGAAAUUCCUUGUCAGGUAAGUUCUGACCCGCAUGAAAGGCGUAAUGAUUUGGGCACUGUCUCAACAGCCCGCCCGGCGAAAUUGUAGUACCGGUGAAGAUGCCGGUUACCCGCGACAAGACGGAAAGACCCCAUGGAGCUUUACUGUAGCCUAAUAUUGGGUUUCGAUGUUGCAUGCACAGGAUAGAUGGGACACUGGGAAACAAUCGCUUUGGCGGUUGCGGAGUGGCCGUUGGGAUACCAUCCUUGCGAUAUUGGAAUUCUAACCUGCGGCUCUGAAUCGAGUCGGGGGACAUUGUUAGGUGGGCAGUUUGACUGGGGCGGUCGCCUCCUAAAGAGUAACGGAGGCGUUCAAAGGUUCGCUCAGCUUGAACGGAAAUCAAGCAAAAGAGUGCAAACGCAGAAGCGAGCCUAACUGCGAGACUGACGGGUCGAGCAGUAACGAAAGUUGGAGUUAGUGAUCCGGUGGUAUGUGAGUGGAAAUGCCAUCGCUCAACGGAUAAAAGUUACCCUGGGGAUAACAGGCUGAUCUCCCCCAAGAGUCCACAUCGACGGGGAGGUUUGGCACCUCGAUGUCGGCUCAUCGCAUCCUGGGGCUGUAUUCGGUCCCAAGGGUUUGGCUGUUCGCCAAUUAAAGCGGUACGCGAGCUGGGUUCAGAACGUCGUGAGACAGUUCGGUCCCUAUCUGUCGUGGGCGCAGGAUAUUUGAUGGGAGCUGUCCCUAGUACGAGAGGACCGGGACGGACGUACCUCUGGCGCACCAGUUGUUCCGCCAGGAGCAUAGCUGGGCAACUACGUACGGAUCGGAUAAACGCUGAAAGCAUCUAAGCGUGAAGCCGACCCAAAGAUAAGAUAUCCCAUUGU